GUGUCAGCAGCCGCGGUAAGACGGAGGGUGCUAGCGUUGUUCGGAAUGACUGGGCGUAAAGGGCGCGUAGGCGGCUCGUGAAGUCGGGUGUGAAAGCCCGGGGCUCAACCCCGGAACGGCAUCCGAUACUGGCGGGCUUGAGACCGGGAGAGGAGGGUGGAAUACCCAGUGUAGAGGUGAAAUUCGUAGAUAUUGGGUGGAACACCGGUGGCGAAAGCGGCUCUCUGGCCCGGAUCUGACGCUGAGGCGCGAAAGCGUGGGGAGCAAACAGGAUUAGAAACCCGCGUAGUCC
rnacentral:rRNA from 1 species